GCCAGACCCAAGACCUGUUUGAGAUCAAUUGGGAGGCAGAGACACCAAACCACUAGAGAGAGGCUCGCGAAUCCCAACGCCCAUAUGCACAGCCAGCCACCCGUGUGCAUGUGCAUGGAUCAACCAGAUUCCUUGCCAUGCCAAAGGACGUGAAUCCAUGGCGUUCACCCCAAGAUCGGAAGGCCGGUCACCUAAUAGAUCGGGAGGAUGGCAAAGCAGGCAAGGCGACGGCCAGAUCGUGAGGCUAGCGACGCACGACAGCGGCAGCCAGAUCGAGAGGCCGGCAACAAAGGACAGCCACCACCAGAUCGAUCGGGGAGAGUCUCGAUCGGGGACGACUUGUAUUUUGGUAGGGUGGAAGAUGAGGAGGACACCAGGUGGGAGAAAGUAAAAACUAGCGGAGAUGCCCCGCCGCCGCCGUCCACCGUCCGACGGCCUCCUCCGGCGACGACGGGGUGAACGGGGUUGUGGGGGAGAGCCUUCUGAGGUCGCGGCGGCGGCGCCUCCGGAGUAGCCUAAAGCGACCCGGGAGGCAGUUGAAAUAUAUUUCAUACUUAUCUGGGAUGAUCUGUGAGAUAUCUUCACAAUGAUGUACGAAAGUGUCUCAGUUGGUGAGAUCUUGUGAACUUCCCAAGCACUUCAAGCAUUUUUUAAGAGGUCAAAUGACUAAAUGUAGCCAGUUCUUCAAUGCAGUCGAAAUCGCAGUCAGUGGUCAGGAUGUUUGAUGCCACUGGCCAACUUAUCUGAAUUCUCACGCUCUUUUUCUUUGGUACUGGAGAUAAUUUGUUCUCGUGCUUAUACAAUUUUCCUUUGUGUACCAUUAUUUCAUACUGCAGCCUGAAUAUUGCUGUACUCACAUCCCUCUCGUGGGGUACUACUAGGGUAUUGUAAAAAUCCUCCGUUUUUAUUGGGUUCUUUGGAUUUUUCA